rnacentral:rRNA from 1 species
CAAGUUGAACGCUUGAUUUUCACCGAAGCUUGCUUCACCGAAAAUCAAGAGUAGCGAACGGGUGAGUAACGCGUGGGUAACCUACCUAUCAGCGGGGGAUAACUAUUGGAAACGAUAGCUAAUACCGCAUAACAAUGUUGGAUGCAUAUUCGACAUUUGAAAGUACCAACUGGUACACUGAAAGAUGGACCCGCGUUGUAUUAGCUAGUUGGUAGUGUAAUGGACUACCAAGGCGAUGAUACAUAGCCGACCUGAGAGGGUGAUCGGCCACAUUGGGACUGAGACACGGCCCAAACUCCUACGGGAGGCAGCAGUAGGGAAUCUUCGGCAAUGGACGAAAGUCUGACCGAGCAACGCCGCGUGAGUGAAGAAGGUUUUCGGAUCGUAAAACUCUGUUGUUAGAGAAGAACGUUGCAUAGAGUGGAAAAUUAUGCAAGUGACGGUAUCUAACCAGAAAGGGACGGCUAACUACGUGCCAGCAGCCGCGGUAAUACGUAGGUCCCAAGCGUUGUCCGGAUUUAUUGGGCGUAAAGCGAGCGCAGGUGGUUUCUUAAGUCUGAUGUAAAAGGCAGUGGCUCAACCAUUGUGUGCAUUGGAAACUGGGAGACUUGAGUGCAGGAGAGGAGAGUGGAAUUCCAUGUGUAGCGGUGAAAUGCGUAGAUAUAUGGAGGAACACCGGUGGCGAAAGCGGCUCUCUGGACUGUCACUGACACUGAGGCUCGAAAGCGUGGGUAGCAAACAGGAUUAGAUACCCUGGUAGUCCACGCCGUAAACGAUGAGUGCUAGUUGUUUGGGGCUAUCCAGCCCUAAGUGACGCAGCAAACGCAUUAAGCACUCCGCCUGGGGAGUACGACCGCAAGGUUGAAACUCAAAGGAAUUGACGGGGGCCCGCACAAGCGGUGGAGCAUGUGGUUUAAUUCGAAGCAACGCGAAGAACCUUA